AACGAACGCUGGCGGCGUGCCUAACACAUGCAAGUCGUGCGAGAAAGUUCCUUCGGGAGCGAGUAAAGCGGCGCACGGGUGAGUAACACGUAGGUAACCUGCCCCCCAGUCUGGAACAACUAGAGGAAACUCUAGCUAAUGCCGGAUGAGACCACGAUCCCUUCGGGGGUUGCGGCCAAAGAUGGCCUCUACUUGUAAGCUAUCGCUGAGGGAUGGGCCUGCGGGCCAUUAGCUUGUUGGUGAGGUAACGGCUCACCAAGGCUGUGAUGGCUAGCUGGUCUGAGAGGAUGACCAGCCACACUGGGACCGAGACACGGCCCAGACUCCUACGGGAGGCAGCAGUGGGGAAUAUUGGACAAUGGGCGAAAGCCUGAUCCAGCAAUGCCGCGUGAGUGAUGAAGGCCUUAGGGUUGUAAAGCUCUUUUACCCGGGAUGAUAAUGACAGUACCGGGAGAAUAAGCCCCGGCUAACUCCGUGCCAGCAGCCGCGGUAAU
rnacentral:rRNA from 1 species